CCUGGAACUUGCUUUGUAGACCAGGCUGGCCUUGAACUCACAGAGAUCUGCCUGCCUCUGCCUCCUGAUUGCUGGGAU
rnacentral:miRNA from 1 species